rnacentral:rRNA from 1 species
AAUAUUGGACAAUGGGGGAAACCCUGAUCCAGCCAUCCCGCGUGUAUGAUGAAGGCCUUCGGGUUGUAAAGCACUUUUGGCAGGGAAGAAAAGGUACCUCCUACUACGAGGUGCUGCUGACGGUAUCUGCAGAAUAAGCACCGGCUACCUACGUGCCAGCAGCCGCGGUAAUACGUAGGUUGCAAGCGUUAAUCGGAAUUACUGGGCGUAACGCGUGUGUAGGGGGUACGGAAAGCAAGAUGUGAAAUCCCAGGGUUCAACCUUGGAACUGCAUUUUUAACUGCCGAGCUAGAGUAUGUCAGAGGGAGGUAGAAUUCCACGUGUAGCAGUAAAAUGCGUAGAUAUGUGGAGGAAUACCGAUGGCGAAGGCAGCCCCCUGGGAUAAAACUGACGCUCAGACCCGAAAGCGUGGGGAGCAAACAG